rnacentral:rRNA from 1 species
GCCACGGCUAACUACGUGCCAGCAGCCGCGGUAAUACGUAGGUGGCGAGCGUUAUCCGGAUUUACUGGGUGUAAAGGGCGUGUAGACGGAUGGGUAAGUUGGCUGUUUAACCUGGGGGCUAAACCCCCAGCCUGCAACCGAAACUGCUGAUCUUGAGUACCAGAGGGGAAAGCGGAAUUCCUAGUGGAGCGGUAAAAUGCAUAGAGAUUAGGAAGAACACCGGUGGCGAAGGCGGCUUUCUGGACGACAACUGACGCUGAGGUACGAAAGCGUGGGGAGCAAACAGGAUCAGAUACCCUGGUAGUCCACGCUGUAAACGAUGAGUGCAAGGUGUUGGGGGUCAAACCUCGGUGCCGCCGUUAACACAGUAAGCACUCCGCCUGGGGAGUACGUACGCA